rnacentral:rRNA from 1 species
UGGGGAAUCUUGCACAAUGGGGGCAACCCUGAUGCAGCGACGCCGCGUGAGCGAUGAAGCCCUUCGGGGUGUAAAGCUCUUUCGGCUGGAACGAUGAUGACGGUACCAGCAGAAGAAGCUGCGGCUAACUACGUGCCAGCAGCCGCGGUAAUACGUAGGCAGCGAGCGUUGUUCGGAGUUACUGGGCGUAAAGAGUGCGUAGGCGGUGGUCUAAGUCUGGUGUGAAAUCUCCCGGCUCAACUGGGAGGGU